CAUGACCUGAAUCAAAGGCAGAUGCUUAACUGACUGAGUCACCCAGGUGCCCAUAGGGUCCUUUUAUUUUUUUUUUAUUUUUUAUUUUUAUUUUUUUUUUAAGAUUUUAUUUAUUUAUUUGAGACAGAGAAUGAGAUAGAGCAUGAGAGGGUCAGAGGGAGAAGCAGACUCCCUGCCGAGCAGGGAGCCCGAUGCGGGACUCGAUCCAGGGACUCCAGGAUCAUGACCUGAGCCGAAGGCAGUCGCUUAACCAACUGAGCCACCCAGGCGCCCCCCAUAGGGUCCUUUUAAACAGUAUAUUUAUCUAACCACUAUAUAGAUGGAAAUGCCUAUUUUUACCUUUCUACAAAGAUAAAUGUGUGCAUUUUUGCAUGUUUUACCAUUUCUCCACCUGGAAUCAAUUUUAGCACUAUUCUUCAUUUUUUUUUCCGAUUUUUUUCUUCAUUUUUUCAAUAUUUCUGUAUCUUUGCUCUAUCCAGGUGUCUCUCAAACUUCCCUGCAUUUGCUUGUCUUGUAGCCACUCUAUUUGUCUAACCAUUCUACAUAUUUAUAUACAAUUUUCACUAAACCAGUCUACAGUCCUCUGUAGGAAUAGUUGUAUAAUACCUUUCUUGCGUGGUUGGCACAUCAGAUUCCCCGUGUUUUAUAAAAUGUUUUAUAUACUACGUGCUUCCUAUCGCUGACAUGUGUGCACCCUGCCAGUGCUCUUCCUGGGGACCUUUUCUAAGCAGACUGCUGCUUUCCGUCAUUCUGAACAGCCAGCCUCUGGUGGGACGUGAUGGCUACUCUGAUCCAGAGUUUGUGGCCGGAGAGUCCAAGCCUGGGUUUUCUCAUCAGUAAAAUGGGCCUAAGAGUUAGGAUUCUGAUCAUUAUUCAACACCCAGGGGUUAGUAGAUAGAUGUGUCUGUCCCCACAAAAUUCAUCUGCUGAAAUCUAAUUCCCUUUUUUUUUUUUAAAGGUUUUAUUUAUUUAUUUGAGAGAGAGAAUGAGAGACAGAGAGCACGAGAGGGAAGAGGGCAGAGGGAGAAGCAGACCCCCUGCUGAGCAGGGAGCCCGAUGUGGGACUUGAUCCCGGGACUCCAGGAUCAUGACCUGAGCCGAAGGCAGUCGCUUACCCAACUGAGCCACCCAGGCGCCCUGAAAUCUAAUUCCCAAUGUGAUUGUAUUUGGAGAGGUGGAGCCUUUUGGAGGUGAUUAGGUCAUGAGGGUAGGGCCCUCAUGAUUGGGAUUAGUACCUUUUUAGAAGAGACUCCAUAGUGCUGUGGAGGCGGCCAGGAUGCACUGCAGCGAAUGGUCGUGAAACUGUUUGAGUGACCUUUCAUGCAUGCCCAGUGGUCCUGGUGGUGGCACGAGGCAGAAGCCAUGGUGGAUGGGGCGGCUGCAUCAGGCAGAAAAAAAAAAAAGAGAGAGACAGACUCUGGAGAGUUCCCUCGCCCUUUCCAUUGUGUGAGGACACAGUGAAAAGAGCUGUGAACUAGGAAGUGCGCUCUCACUAGACACCAAAUCUUCCAGUGCCUCGAACUUGGACUUCCCAGCCUACAAAACUGUGAGUAAUACAUUUCUGUUGUUUAUAAGCUACCCAGUCUGUGAUAUUUUUGUUAUAGUAGCCUGAACAGACUAAGUGUCCAUUUUGGCAGACCCUAGACUAAGAGUCCUUCUGUUCAUGACCUUGUGACUUUUAAAAAUAAUGACUUAAAAAAACUUGUUAUUGAGGCGCCUGGCAGGCUCAGUCAGAAGAGCAUGUGACUCUUGAUCUUGGGGUUGUGAGGUCGAGCCCCACGUUGGGUGCAGAGAUUACUUAAAAAUAAAUUUUUUUUUAACACUUGUUAUUGAAAUGUAAUAUACACAUAGAAGUGUGCAACUAAGGGUGGAGCUUGAUGAAUCUUUACAAAGUGAGCUCGCCUGGGCAUCCAGCCCAGCAGCUCGAGAACCAACAUUACCAGGCCCCGGAAGUCCUCUCCCACUCGGUCCAAGUAACAACUCCUCAAACUUCUAACCCAUAGAUUGUUUUUCUGGCCUUUCAACUUCGUAUAAAUGGAAUCAAACAGGCUGUGCUAUUUUAGGCAUUUAUGAGCUUUUCCCAUGCACUCAAGGCCUUUUUAUUCUCAUUACUUUAUGGCAUCGCCAUGGUGUAUAUUCUUCAGUUUAUCAGUUUUGCUGAUAAUGAACAUGUAGGCAGCAAAUUUGGGUUUGGGCUAUUAAAAAUAGUGCUGUUAGGUGAACCUCUAUCCACCUUUUUCUUGGGUCUAUUCCUGACAAACGCCAGUCAUGGGGACCCCAGGAUUUGCACAGAUUCUGCCAAACAGGUUCCAAGUGGUUAGAUGGGGCGGCUGCAUCAGGCAGAAAAAAAAAGAGACUCUGGAGAGCUCCCUCGCCCUUUCCAUUGUGUGAGGACACAGUGAAAAGAGCUGUCUGUGAACUAGGAAGUGAGCUCUCACUAGACACCAAAUCUUCCAGGGCCUCGAACUUGGACUUCCCAGCCUACAAAACUGGAGUGGGUCUGUGGAGCUCCUCACGCAGCCAUCCUGGAAGUGGAAUUCUGUGAGUGGUGUUUCUUCACAGAGACCCUCAGGGAAAGGCCCUCGGCUUGGUUCUGCCCUUGGGCACCCCCCCCCAACAUUGGUAAGGAGGAGCUGUUUUCCUAUAUCACAUGUCUUUAUUUAGCACUUAUGGAUGUGUGUCCCCAUUUUGUUCCACAGUUUUUACCAAAAGUCCCAGUCUUUCCCGCUCUCCUCAAGCACGGAUGGAAUCUUGGAUGUGCAGCCGACGAGGGCAGCAGCUUGGUAGGCCAGGAGGCUACACGUGGCUCACUGAUGCUGCACGGAUUCCCCACCGAGUCUGCUAACAACCCACCUUUCGAAGCUUACUAUUUUAUUUAUUUAUUUGAGAGAGAGCACGAGAACACAAGCAGGGGGAGCAGGCAGAGGGAGAAGCAGGCUCCCUGAUGCGGGGCUGGAUCCCAGGUCCCUGGGCUCAUGACCUUAGCCGAAGGCAGAUGCUUAACCGACUGAGCCACCCAGGCGGCCCCAAAAUUGUAAUUUACGAAAUGAAUAGCAGAGACAGAGUGCCGCGAGCGAGCAGAAGUCUGGGAGCCUCUCGGAGCACAAGGGAUCUUCCUGCGGUUUAUGGCGCGGUAUCCUAAGGGAACAAAAUAUUGUGCAAUAAUUAUAGGUCCAUGAGAAGUUGCAGAAAAAUAUUCAAGGAGGUGUCAUGUACCCUUCACCCAGUUUUCCCUGAAGGUAUUGCAGUCCCAGCAGAAGGAGGAUAUGCACUGCAGGUGUCUGAAGAUCUCAGGUGGAGGCUUCUUUGAACUUCUACCACUCAGUUACCCAGGAUACACUUUGAUUUCCGGUCUCAAACCACUUGUGUACUGUGUAUGUGAAGCCCCUCAGUAUUGGAAGCCCAAGUCUGCUCAGGGUGGGGGUCUUAUAUUUAUAUUGAACGGGUCACAAAUGCACAUUAUAGCUAUGUGACCAGCCUUAACUUUUAACAUCCCCCAGGCCUCAUUAAGACUAGGUACAAAUAACAAAUUCAGUGCUUACUGCACAGUAUUGGCAGGCUGGUGGUCCUGCUCUGAAACAACUCACUACCCAUGGUUUAUUAUUUUUUAUUUUUUAAAAAAUAUUUUAUUUGUUUAUUCAUGAGAGACAGAGAGAGGCAGAGGCACAGGGAGAAGCAGGCUCCCCACGGAGCAGGGAGCCUGAUGCAGGACUUGAUCCCAGGACCCCGGGAUCAUGACCUGAGCUGAAGGCAGACGCUUAACCGACUGAGCCACCCAGGUGCCCUCAGCAGGUUCUUUACACAGUUUCAGGAUUUCUCAACAUGAUCUCUUCAGAAGCAUAGAAUUCUUACAUGGCAACUGAGAACCCCAAAGCUGAGUGUUCCAAGAGACAUAAAAUCCUGAGCCCAAAGCUGGCCCAGUACUAUUUCCUCUGUAUUCUAUUGGUCAGAGUGGCUAAAGAGCCUGCCCAAAUUUAAGGGCAGAGGACAAAGACCUCACCUUUCUAUGGGAGAAGUUCCAGAGAAUUCAUGGCCAUCCUUCAUCUGCCACAAUGGAACAGCCAGAUCCUCCUCUGAGACCCAGCCAAGGACUGAUGAGUUGGGAGGGAAGGAGACCACCAGGCAGAAGUUAUAGGGCAGGUAGAGGUUCUGCCAAGGUGGGGCUUCCUUCAGGGUCAAGAGCUUUAGUGUCUAGCUGAGGCUAUUCCAUGGCAGGUCUCUGUGUUCCCCUAGCCUGUUUUCCUUCUAUAAAAUAAGAGUUGAUGAUUUCCAGACUGUCCAGAACUGUCCAGCAUCCCACACAUUUUACCUCGCCUGUGGCUGUGAGAUUUCCUGCCUCAUGAGACAACAGUCAUGGAAACCAACAUGUCCUGGGGUAGGAACUGCCACUCUUCUGAAUAUUUGCCAUCUACCUUCCUAAAGUCAAUCUGUGCCCAGCCACAGGGAUGAGAUAUGGUGUCAUACAAAGCAGCCUCAUUAAGCAGUAAUCCUCAAAUAUAGUAGGGUACUAUUUAUGUAAAUUAUUUUAAAAAGCACAGUAUAUCUGUAUCAACCAGAGUUCAUGUCAUCACAGCUGGUAUUUAUAAUGACCUUCUUCAUUACCCAUUCUGCAUUCCCUUUGCCUUUAGAAAGCACCUUAGCUGGUUGUGAUUGUUUACCUGGUAGGGUGACCCAAAUCUUCAUUCCUGAAUGGUCUGGGCCAUCAGCAGUCGUGCCUGACUUGGCUGUUAGAGUUUUCCAUUGAUUUUAAUCACAGGGCAUGGUAGUAUAAGAGACUCCCUAAGGGAUCUUCUGUAUUCCAGACAUUCCACUGGCCAGCAGCCCAGUUUGCCCUUGGUAAUCAGGAUCAAUCACCUACAUAACACAAUGACUUCAUUUGCUUGUUGGUUCAGAGGCAUGAAGAGCCUGAAGUGGUCAGGUGGCAGUCUCAACUUCUAGUUCAAUGGAAUCAUUAUUGUGCCUCCAUGGGCAAGCAUUCCUCCCUUUGGAACUAGGACUUCUAGAUCAGUGGAGCAUAAGGCGGUGGGGGUGGGAAGAAAAAUUUUUGCUAGUGGAUCAUGAGGGAGAAUAGUGAGUGGAGCCACUUCCAUUUCCACUUCUUGAUUCCUGGACCUAUGAAUCCUGGCUAUGGGGAAAAUAGCACCAUAUAUUGGAUGCUGAUUUCUGCAUCCUGCAGGACACUGUGACAGUCCCUCAAGGUAUUUCUACCUACCUGGCACCAAAACUGAGUCUUCGAAAGGCCCUUUCACCAUUAUGUCGAGCCACUGCCUUAGGAUGAUGGGAAACAUGGUAAGAUCAGUGGAUUCCAUGAGCACAGGCCCAUUUCUUCACUCCACUUGCUGUGAAGUGAGUUCUUUCACCAGAAGUGGUGCUGUGUAGAACACAAGAUGGUAGAUAAGGCAUUCUGUAAGUCCACAGAUGGUAGUUUUGGCAGAAACAUUGUGGGCAGGAAAAGGGAGUCCAUAUCCAGAGUAAGCUUUUAUUUCGAUAAGACCAAAGUGCUUGCUGUCAUUUCCAUGAUGGAAGCUGUCCAACAGAAUCAACUUGGGAAUAGUGCCAUACUGGGGACUUAGUUUCUGCUGCUGGCAAGUGAGGCAGUGGCUGUAGCCAGGUUGGCCUUGGUGAAUGAUCCCUGUUGCUGAGCCCAUGCAUAACCUCCAUCCCUGUGAUCAGGGCCACUUUGUUCUGAUGAUAAGCGCAUCGGGUGAUGAGUGGGGUGGCUGAGUAGUAACCAUGGAGUGGAUCAUCCUAGGCACUUGAUUAUUACAAUCCUCCUCUGCUGAGGUCACCCUUUGGUGAACAUUCACACAGGACACAAAUCAUGUUUCUUAGCCCAGAGAGGUCUAUCCAUACACCUCUUCCCCAAAAUUCACCAUCACCAAUUUUCCAAUUAUGUUCCUUCCAAAUCCCUGGUCAUCUAACCAAAUACUGGCUACACCCCAUGAAUUGGCAGAGACUCAUGCCUCUGGCCAGCUCUCCUCCUGGGAAAAAUAAACAGCCAGGUUUAUUGUUAUUCUCCAAGAUCAGUCUGUCCCCUCACCAAAUAGGUGAGUUGAGUGGGGAUGCGGUGGAAGUCACCACCCCUGAAUCCUUCAAGUCCCUGAUGGUGGCAAUAAUCUCUGCAAACCUUCCAAGAAUUACUGUUUUCCUAGGCAGAGGCAGUUCUAGUGGCUUCCAUUUGGCCUUUUCUGCCAUAAUAGCCCUCACUCCACAGGUCAGAGAACCAAUAUGAGAAUUCUGUCAGUUGCUGAGCAUGUCUUUUCCAAUUCUGGAACCGGACAAGUAACCACAGGGUGGCAUCAGGGACCCACUGUGCCCACUGAGAGAUGAACUGGAGCUAAAACUCCAUGGAUCACCUGUGCUCCAUAAGCCCCUGCUCUGAACGGUGGGUUUCCAGGAAUCAGUUCAGAGUCAGUGUCCAAGAAUCUCCGAAAGGUAUAAUUUCUUCUUUUUCUCCAACACACAGCAGUGACCCUGGCAAGUAGCUAUUGGUCCCUUUGGGGAAGGCUAAGAGAAAGAUUAACAAGAUAAAUUUUUGGCAGUUUAGUGGCGUCCUUCCUCAAGGGGACCUGGUCUCCCCUUUAUUUAAGAAGUUCUGGGUCUGUGAAAUGGCUUAAGCCUGGGAAUUGAAUGAAGGCUGUGACUCCCUGUUUUUAUGAUUCAAGUGAGACUUCUGUUCACCUGACCUAGAAUUCUUCUACUAAUACAGAUCAAAUAAGAGUUUAGUAGACUGCUCAACUCUUUCUCUUCAUGGGACACCAUGAUCAGUUAGCCAACAUCAUAGGUCUCUGUAAGUCAGACUAUUCUGAUUACUGCAUUGACUCUGUUGUCCAUAACCACCUUGCCUGUUGGUGAUUGAGGGCCAUCGCUCAGCCCCUGCCACCUCAUGAUCCAAUUAUCCCCAUUGCAUUUGGGGAUCCCAAUUGAGUAGCAAUUCCUACUGUCAUUUUUGACCUAUAGUAAAGAGAAGAGUGACCAGAUUGUUCUUUCAAGGAUGCUGAGGGCCCCUCACAAAUUUAUUUUAUAGUCAUGGUGAAAAUUGGCUCUUCUGGACCCUUCUGGGGCGGGUGACCAGGUUUUGCCUCAUAAAUUGCACUCUAAUAUUACAAUCUUCCUAAGCAUUUGGAUACUUUCCUCUACAGUAUACCAAGGAAGCUCUGGCAUUUCAACUUAAUUUAGUGUAGGCCACUUUUGGUUUCAGCUUUCAUUCGGCCAAAAAACCUGUUAGAAUACUUCCUAGCCCCUGGAGCUACAAUAACCUGUAAUCUGUACUCUCUGCUUAAUAGGCCUACCUCAUUAAAUUUCGCCCAAUCUAACUUUCUAUUCUUUCUGCCAUCAUCCCACAUCCUUAAUAUCCAUUCCACACAUCACAGGGUGAGCAGAGAGGAGGCACCAGAUCCAUGCUGAUGAUUGAAAAACCUCUCACAAGACCCCACAUCUGAUUGUUGGCAACUGAAGACAGAGUAUGUCAGUUCAGAUGCUCUGGGUCAAAGUGAGGAGUGCAAGAAGUUUGUUGGGAGCAACGCCUAUGGAAGAUAAAGCAGGAGGAUGCAGGCCUGGGCAGAGGGAAACUCAGUCCAUGAUACAGCCUUGAGCAAGGCUUGGUCAACCCAGUGGGAGUUGAGAGCAAGGACUUGCCUUUUGAAUAGUGCAGUGCUGAGUGGAGAUGGCCAAGCGAGCCUCCUGCCUUACUCAGUUUUGGGGGGCUGCUCUGGAAGAGUGGACUUUGGUUUCAACACCAUGAAUUAACAGAGAAACAGUAAAUUAUCAUAACUUGUAAGGUCUUUCAAUAACUCUGAUUUCACUAGUUGAGAGAUUUUGGAAAUUUGUGGCCUGUCAAGGGAACCUGAGUGGUGCCUACCCACAGUAACCAUACCUUGUCCUCUAGUGCAGAGCUGUGGAAAUUUUUGUAAAUAACAGAGGGCACCUGUUUUCAUGCUGACUGACUCAGUGUGUGAAUAAAUCUCUGCUUCCUA